GUUUACAUUACGGUUAAUCCAGCCUCUAGUGGCUGUCUUAUUGACAGCCACUAGAGGCGCUUCCGCGCUUCUCACUAUGAAAAUCACAGUGAGAAGACACAGACGUCCAUAGGAAAGCAUUGGGUAAUGCUUUCCUAUGGACUGAUUGAAUGCGCGUGCGGCUCUCUCCGGUGAUUUCCCCAGCGCAGAGAGGGCCCGGCACUGGAGAAAGGUAAGAAUUUAAACCUUUCCUCCACCUUCAGCCAAGCGGGAGUAGGACCUUGAGGGUGGGGGUACCCAAAGACCCUAUAGUGCCAAGAAAACUAGUUUGUUUUCCUGGCACUAUAAUGGUCCUUUAAUAAAUUGCAGAUGCUCAGCAAAGCAAAAAAAUACCUAAACAUAAAACGUUUCCAUAUUCUUUAGGUACAGUUACAUAUGCUCAAAAUUGCCUCACCUUAUCCAACAAUAAUGGACAAACCUUCUACACAUUCUGAUAUGUCCGUUUAACCACCAACCUUUCCCUUUGCCUAUUUGAUUAGUAGUCAAUGAGAUCCAUGUUUAGUGCCCCCUCAAUGACACAGCUUUCCAGACCGUUUUUCCUACUUAUUUAUAGAAAACGCUUCAAAUAAUUCCUCCUGCCACCUACUAGGAAGUGUUUUUCAAAUUACUAUACGAGCUGCAGUUCUCAAAAAGGAUUAUCUAUGCAAGACAAAUGCCCCUGAAGUGAUUUACUGAAAGCUUGCUACACUGCUUGUGGCAAUGUAUGGCUAUUCAAUCCAUUGAGUCUAAAAUUAAAGGGACAUUACAGGUACCAAGACAACUUCAGCUCAUUGAAGUGGUCUGGGUGCAUAGUCCCAAGUCCCUUGACCCCGCAAAGGUAAUUAUUCCAGUUUUUAAUAAACUGCAAUAAUUACAUUGAGGGUUAUCUCCACCUCUAGUGGCUGUCUAGGGGCACUACACAACUAAAUACAACUUUUUCCUGGCACUAUAGUUUCCAUAUAAAGCAAGCAUGCC